AGGCGGAGAGGGCAGGGAGCUGGGAUUUCGCGGGGCACAGUGAGGCUGGGCGUGUAGGCAGGUGGGACUUGGGCGUGCCCCGCUGUCUCCUGCUCCGUGUUUGUGUGAGGCAGCGCCUCCUCUGCCCUGCCAGGGACAAUGGCGUCUCUUGGCCACAUCUUGGUUUUCUGUGUGAGUCUCAUCACCAUGGCCAAGGCAGAAAGUCCAAAGGAGCAAGACCCGUUCACUUAUGGUGAGCAGAAGAUGCCGGUGCAAGUUCAACCAGCAGCAGAGGUAAGACGCCCCUCCCCGCCCUCCUUCGCCCGCUCCUGCUCUGGAGUGCGCCGCAGGUGAGGCGGGGAGUCCGCCUGACCCGCAGCCCGAUCCCCAUCAGCGACUAUGUAUUAAGCAUCUAUGUACCACGGCCCAAGCCAGGCCCUGGGACCAAAUGAGGAAAAAACCUACCGCCCUUCCUGGCCGAGCUCCCAGCCUAGUGGAGGCGGUGGCCGUGGGUUCCAACAGCCCCACAGAUAGAAAAAUCACAAAGCGUGAUAACACAAAGUGCAGGAAAGAAAGAACGGCGGUGAAAUGAGAUCAUCUCACACGCGGCCCAGUUUAGCUUAGAGUCCUGUUCCUAGCUCUUUGAUUCCUCUUCAAAUAAAAUGUUAAAGCAUGGACAAUGUGUGAAUAUGUUAGAACAAUUUUAGAUAUUAUCAUAAGCAGUAGCUAAUAUUUAUUGGGUGUGUACCACGUGUCAGAUACGGUUUCACUUCCUCUGGGAGGGAGGUGCUGUUAUUAAGCCCAUUUUACAGAUAAAGAAACUGAGACACAGGGAGGUAAAGUCACUUUGUUCAAGAUCACUCAAGUGGAAGAUGGGGGGUUCUGGGUUUCCAACCCAGGCCAUCUCAUGACAAUCUGCCAAGUCCCCUUGACUAUCCCUCCCUUACCAACUUCACAUCCCUGCCCCCAAAUCCGCGGAGGUACUCACUGUUAACCGGCUUGGAAGCCCCCUGCAAAGCACUUAAGCUGCUCCUGGGUGCUUCUUAUUUCUGGCGGACCCCGAGCCUGUUCUUCGUCCAUAUCUGGGCCUCGUUACACCAGUCUGGGAAAGGAGGCUUGUACUGGGGGUUCCUAGAAGGGCAGCCUCUCCCCCUUUCCAUCCCGAAGUCCCUCUGCCUCUGUCUUCCCAGGACUGGGGAACCCGAUGAAGAGGAGGGAACUUUCCGCAGCUCCAUCCGCCGUGAGUCUGGGGAGACUGCGGGUAUUUUGGGGAGAGGGCUGGUUCCAAGGACCCCUUUUCCUGGCCCUCCCCGGCUGCGUAGAGGGAGGGGCUGGAUCUGAAAGCAGAGGGCGGGGAGUUGCCCCGCCUGCCCAGGAGCUGGGGAUGCCCCUCCUGAUGACCCCCGAUCUCCGUGUUCCCCCCAGGUCUGUCCACCCGCAGGCGGUAGAAACACCUGGCGCGAUGGAAUCCGGCCAGGUGCUGCAGCUCUGACACGGCGGUGGGAGGGAAGGAGGGAGGAAGGAAAGGCGGGAGAGGGAAGGGGCCAAGUGCCAGGGUUGGAGGGCGGCGAGGGGUGGUGCUGGACUUCCCCCCUCGCCUUUCACUCACCCUCUUCACCCCACAGGACUCCCCUGGCACCUGACGUCUCCCACGCUCCACCUGCGCGCCCACCGCCCCUCCGCCGCCCCUUCCCCAGCCCUGCCCCGGCAGACUCCCCCUGCCGCCCAGACUUCCAAUAAAACGUGCGUUCCUCUCGAC
ensembl:lncRNA